CAUCCUGGGGCUGUAGUAGGUCCCAAGGGUUGGGCUGUUCGCCCAUUAAAGUGGUACGCGAGCUGGGUUCAGAACGUCGUGGGACAGUUCGGUCCCUAUCCGUCGCAGGCGUAGGAAAUUUGAGAAGACCUGUCCUUAGUACGAGAGGACCGGGAUGGACGUACCUCUGGUGUACCAGUUGUUCUGCCAAGGGCAUGGCUGGGUAGCUAUGUACGGAAUGGAUAAGCGCUGAAAGCAUCUAAGCGCGAAGCCAACUUCAAGAUAAGAUUUCCCACCGCAAGGGUAAGACCCCAGAAAGACUAUCUGGUUGAUAGGUCGAAGGUGUAAGUGCAGCAAUGUAUUUAGCUUAUCGAUACUAAUAGGUCGAGGACUUGACCAAAUU
rnacentral:rRNA from 1 species